rnacentral:rRNA from 1 species
UACAGAGGUCUCAAGCGUUGUUCGGAAUCACUGGGCGUAAAGGGUGCGUAGGCCGCACGGUAAGUCAGAGGUGAAAUCCCGGAGCUCAACUCCGGAAAUGCCUCCGAUACUGCCGUGCUUGAGGACUGGAGAGGAGUCUGGAAUUCACAGUGGAGCAGUGAAAUGCGUAGAUAUUGUGAGGAACACUAGUGGCGAAGGCGGCGCUCUGGGCCGGUACUGACACUGAGGAGCGAAAGCGUGGGUAGCAAACAGG